rnacentral:tRNA from 1 species
AAACUAGGAGUAAAACAGGGCUGCUAACUUUGUUUUGGGUAAUUCGAUUUAUCCUUUU